UACGUAGAGUCCGAGCGUUGUCCGGAAUUAUUGGGCGUAAAGAGCUCGUAGGCGGUUUGUCGCGUCUGCUGUGAAAUCCCGAGGCUCAACCUCGGGCCUGCAGUGGGUACGGGCAGACUGGAGUGCGGUAGGGGAGAAUGGAAUUCCUGGUGUAGCGGUGGAAUGCGCAGAUAUCAGGAGGAACACCGAUGGCGAAGGCAGUUCUCUGGGCCGUAACUGACGCUGAGGAGCGAAAGCGUGGGGAGCAAACAGG
rnacentral:rRNA from 1 species